rnacentral:misc_RNA from 1 species
AAAUGCGAUAAGUAAUGUGAAUUGCAGAAUUCAGUGAAUCAUCGAAUCUUUGAACGCACGUUGCGCUCCUUGGUAUUCCUUGGAGCAUGCCUGUUUGAGUAUCAUGAAAUCUUCAAAGUAAAUCUUUUGUUAACUCAAUUGGUUUCUACUUUGGUAUUGGAGGUCUUUGCAGCUUCACACCUGCUCCUCUUUGUUCAUUAGCUGGAUCUCAGUGUUAUGCUUGGUUCCACUCGGCGUGAUAAGUUAUCUAUCGCUGAGGACACUGUAAAAGGUGGCCAAGGUAAAUGCAGAUGAACCGCUUCUAAUAGUCCAUUGACUUGGACAAUACUUUUAUGAUCUGAUCUCAAAUCAGGUAGGACUACCCGCUGAACUUAAGC